CACGUAUUUAGCCGGAGCUUCUUAGUCAGGUACCGUCAUUUUCUUUCCUGCUGAUAGAGCUUUACAUACCGAAAUACUUCUUCGCUCACGCGGCGUCGCUGCAUCAGGGUUUCCCCCAUUGUGCAAUAUUCCCCACUGCUGCCUCCCGUAGGAGUCUGGGCCGUGUCUCAGUCCCAAUGUGGCCGUCCACCCUCUCAGGCCGGCUACUGAUCGUUGCCUUGGUGGGCCGUUACCCCGCCAACCAGCUAAUCAGACGCGGGCCCAUCCCGCACCACCGGAGUUUUUCACACCGCUUCAUGCGAAGCUGUGCGCUUAUGCGGUAUUAGCAGCCGUUUCCAGCUGUUGUCCCCCAGUGCGGGGCAGGUUGCCCACGCGUUACUCACCCGUCCGCCACUCAGUCGCAGGCCUCUCCUUCCCGAAGGAAUUCAAAGCAGGCGCUUCGUUCGACUUGCAUGUGUUAAGCACGCCGCCAGCGUUCAUCCUGAGCCAGGAUCAAA
rnacentral:rRNA from 1 species